AGGGCCUUGAGGGGAAGCGUGUGAGGAGAGGCUGAGGGCACUUGGUCUGUUCAGCCUGAGGGGACAGAGAGGAGACCUCAGUGCAGAUACAGCUGCCUCGUGAGGGGAAGAGGAGGGACAGACACUGAUCUCUGCUCUCUGGUGACACUGACAGGACCCAAGGAAUGGCCUGAAGCUGUGCCAGGGGAGGUUCAGCUGCCAGGAGCCCAGAGGGAAUCACAGCCUGCAGGAGACACACAAACCAAGGAACACAAACAGGGGUCUGUGUCCCUGGCAAAGGAAUGGGGACAAAUGGAUGACCAGAACUGCACCCUGAAAAUAAUCUGCUCAUGGAGAUUGUCCUGGAAUAUUGGACUGGACCAGCUCUGUGAUGGUCAUGCCCAUUUUGAGACUCUCAUGUUAAUGCCACAAGAACUUCAGUCUACUGUAUAAUAUUUCAGACAUGGAGAGGAAAAAAAAAGAAGAAAUAAAGAAAAAGAAAAACCAGCCGUCUGCAUCCACUUAAACUACAUUACAAUAAAGCUCAGUAGAGAUCUGAUCAGCAGUUUUUUAGCCUGCCCUGAUUUAAUAUGAAAUAAAUUAGUGGAAAACUUAAAGGCUGAAAGGAAAUUUUUUGCCACUGUUUAAAACAGGACAUGAAUCCUUUAACAUAAUAUUUACACACACUAUAUUAAAUACUUUCUGCAAAGGUAAAAUUUAGCACUGCCAGCUUCAGACAGACUGGGAACGAAAUUUGUUUACACUUAAUAAAUCUGAUUUUGAGAAGAAAAAGUUUUGUUCUUUUUUCCUUUUUUUCCCCUCCUGUGUAUACACUAGCAUUGACAGAAAAUCCUUAUUUCAAAAUAUAUAAAUAUACUGAUUAAAAAACUGUUGAACACUUAAAGGAAAAGACACAAUUUGUAUUGUAUUUAGUAGUGUUUUCAUCUUGGCCUUCAAACUUGCUAUAAUCUGUUAUCUCUGGUGGUCCACAAAGCUUUUGAGAUUCUUGAAGCACCACGGCUUUCAGUGAUCUCUAUAUCCCAGCAUAGCUUUUAUUUGUGGUCAUUGCUAGUAGAUUUAGCAUGAAUUUUCUGACAGUAUACUCUAAUAUUUGGGAAGGAAGGUGUCUGUCAAGAAAUAUUAAAUUGUCAGAUGUGACAUUUUCAUCAGAAAGAACUGUCCAGUUUCUCCAGGGAAAAUUUUGUGAUCCAGGAUUGAACUGUUAUUCAAAACAAGAAGAUGGAUUUUUCCAGGGAAGACCCCAUAGUCCCCAGCCCAGCUCUUUGAGAACAUCUCAGAAGACAAUAUACAAAUCUCCUGCUCUGCUGACCCAGAACAAGGACAUGGCAUUAUAAUCUCAGAGCCUUAAACCUUCAGCUUUAUGUUGGAGGGGGUGUGAGAUGAAUGGACAAACAGAUUUCCCACAAGCUCAGCUGAGGAAAGAUUUGAAGGCUCAGAAAGAAGAGGCCACCACUGAAGUUUGCAGUGUCUCCUCCAGCUCAAAUAAAAUGAAGGAAAAAAAAAAAGGGUUAUAUUUGCUUAUAACAUAAAAGGUGGGCCUGUCACCAUUCUGAUUAAUUAAUUUAGUUUUGCAGUUUGGAUUAAUUACAGUGAAAUACCCAAAUACACUUCAUAGACACUAAUAUCUGUAGUUUUAUGACUGCUGAAUAAUUAAGUACUGCUUUUUCAGUUUCUCCAGGUGGGAAAAAUCAGGCAUAUUAAACCUUGGGCACUAUCAGCCACCCAAUAGGUCUGUAUAAAGGCUUGUGAUGGAGUCAAAAUAUUACAUUAUUUAGCCGAAAGAUUCAGUCUCAAAGGGUACUACUAUCUU